AUUGAACGCUGGCGGCAGGCCUAACACAUGCAAGUCGAGCGAGCGGCGGACGGGUGAGUAAUGUCUGGGAAACUGCCUGAUGGAGGGGGAUAACUACUGGAAACGGUAGCUAAUACCGCAUACCAUCAGAUGUGCCCAGAUGGGAUUAGCUAGUAGGUGGGGUAACGGCUCACCUAGGCGACGAUGCCUAGCUGGUCUGAUAGGAUGACCAGCCCCACAGGAACUGGGACACGGUCCAGAAUCCUACGGGAGGCAGCAGUGGGGAAUAUUGCACAAUGGGCGCAAACCUGAUGCAGCCAUGCCGCGUGUAUGAAGAAGGCCUUCGGGUUGUAAAGUACUUUCAGCGGGGAGGCGUUACCCGCAGAAGAAGCACCGGCUAACUCCGUGCCAGCCGCCGCGGUAAUUC
rnacentral:rRNA from 1 species